rnacentral:rRNA from 1 species
CAAGUGCGAGCAGGCAGACAGACGAGUGGGUGCUAACGUCCAUUGUCAAGAGGGAACAACCAGACCGCCAGCUAAGGUCCCCAAGACACAGUUAAGUGGGAAACGGAGGUGGGAAGGCAUAGACAGCUAGGAGGUUGGCUUAGAAGCAGCCAUCCUUUAAAGAAAGCGUAAUAGCUCACUAGUCGAGUCGUCCUGCGCGGAAGAUGUAACGGGGCUCAAACUGUGCACCGAAGCUGCGGAUAUCGAAAGAUAUGGUAGGGGAGCGUUCUGUAGGUCUGUGAAGGUGUCUUGAGAAGGAUGCUGGAGAUAUCAGAAGUGCGAAUGCUGACAUGAGUAGCGAUAAAGGGAGUGAAAAGCUCCCUCGCCGAAAGCCCAAGGUUUCCUACGCAACGUUCAUCGGCGUAGGGUGAGUCCGCCCCUAAGGCGAGGCAGAAAUGCGUAGUCGAUGGGAAACAGGUCAAUAUUCCUGUACCGAUUCUAGAUGCGAUGUGGGG